GGGAUUUUCUGCAAAAAGAAAACAGUAGCAACAGUAGCCCUGGGAUAGAAAACAAAAGAGGCGGGGAAGAAAGAAAGGCGCUUGAGAGCAGCCCAGGAUCCCUCCCACCCCUAGUUCUCUCCAUCCCAGCUUCUUGCAGGAAGAGGCCUGAGCAAGAAUGAGUAUGGAGAAGAGCCAAGGCGAAGAAAGCUUCUCCAGUCUGAUGCUGGAGGACAUAAAACGGAGGCUGAUCCGAGCUUUCCAAGACUCAAGCAAAGCUGCUGUUGUCCAGCUGCCUACAUCAAUUGAAAACCCUGGUAAGGGUACCACUACAUUGGCAGUUCAAGAGGAAUUACGAAGGAUGCAUGUUGAAGGAGCCAUUGCCUGGCUCCGUGUGGAACUGCUAGAGAUGAAAUCCCAGAACCGCAAGCUUGCCAGAACUCUGCUGGAUUUAAGCAUGGAAAUACAGAGGCUGAGAAAUGAAACCGACAUGACAGUGGCUAUAGAAUCAAAGACAUUAAGCACUACUGCAAACCCAGAAUAACAAACAGCAGUACAAGGCAUAAAGUCUGAAAAGGCAACACACAUCCCAUUAGUGAUGUUGACAAAAUCUGAAGAUUAUGCUUCAAGUGAGAUUGAAUUUGGUAACCAAAUGUGGCUUGAAUGUUAUUAAGAACUUCACUUAACUCAACGAUUGAAGGCUUGUGGUCUGUAUGUUGAAAUUUGACGCUUCCUUGAGACUUAGCCAAAGUAGAGAGAAGAAUGAGACACCUACAGAGAAGAGUCUCUGUUUUGCUUUUCAGAUGAGUGGCACAUGCUCAGUCAAUAACUGCAAAUCUUAUCUGUAGAAAGAAAGCCGAGAUAGAACAAUGCAGAUAAGAACACUUUGAUGGGGAUGAUGCCUGGAUCUUCCACAUUAAAUGCUUGAUUUGCCCCUGAUACUGGGGGUAAGACUCUAUUGUAAAAACACAAUCUUGUGUUAGAUAGUAGAAUCCUCUCUCCCACAUUUUUCUUUUUAAAAUGCAAAUAGAGCUACAGCUCCAUGGAAUCUGUGUAUUUUGAUCAAAGCUCUAGGAAUUUGCAUCAAAAUAUAGUGUGAGAAAGAAUUUGCCAGUUUUUUUUUUUUCGUGUCAGGAGCAACUUGAGUCACUUCUGGAGUGAGAGAAUUGGCCGUCUGCAAGGACGUUGCCAUGGGGACGCCUGGAUGUUUUUGAUGUUUUUACCAUCCUUGUGGGAGGCUUCUCUCAUGUCCCCGUAAGGAGCUGGAGCUGAUAGAGGGAGCUCGGACAGGACUGGACUUAAUGUCAGGGGAAACCUUUACCUUUAACUAAUGGAAAAGUGUGAUUUGCUCAAUGUCAUGAAUGAGUGAAAAUCACUGCAGCACGGUGACUCUAUCUGUUGUUGUGUAUCUUUAAGUCAUUGCUGAUUUAUGGCAACCAUAAGACAAACAUAGCAUGAGGUUUUCUUGGCAAUAUUUGUUCAGAAGGAAUUUAGCCAUUGCCUUCCUCUGAGGCUGAGAGAGUAUGAACUGCAUAUCAUUGUGCAGUUGAUUUUCAUGGCCAAAUGGGGAUUUGAACCCUGGUCUCCAGAAUCACCAUCUGAUGCUCAAACUACUAUACCAUGCUGGCUCCUAUGUUCCAUUACAAGACCACAAAAGAAACUAUAGUAACUCAUCACACAUUCAGCCUUUUUCAUGAGGCACCUUGGAUAGCCUGGAGCUAAUAAAAAGGACUGACAAGUACACAAAUGCAAUUGUGAUGCAAAACAUCAAGGGCAGCCAAAUCUGUUAAGGGAGAAACUCAGCCCUUGUUUUGUUGUGGAAAUGAAGUGGCGAUAAUGUUCCCUGGGACUAUAAACUGGCAGAAAGGAAUGGCACAGCCUGUAGGAGCCGUUCUCAAAGUCUUUAUCAGUGUCAGCAAAUGUUUCUCUUCUUGCAAUAAUUUAGAGGGUAGAGAAGAAGAAUGUUGGUGUGUUAACCGUUUCUGAUGAAUAUAAAAGGCAAAUGUUGGAUUAGAUAAUCCGUUCGGACAUUAAUUCUGUGUUAUUGGAGAAUGUAUGUAUAUUUAGGGUUGCCAAUCCAGGAUCAUCCCAAACCCUGGGGGUUUUGGUCCAAAACUGACAUUUAAAGAUGCUCCCUGGUGUUCUCCGUAAGGGUUAUGCAUAGAAGAGGUUGUUUCCAGAUAAAGGUGAAAUGUUGGAAUUAUUCCUUCUUGUCUAUUUAGGGAGAUGGGAUAGGAAAGAUUCAAUUUAGCCUACUUCUUGGUAGCUGGAAAGUUCAUACAAAGUAGAACAAAGGGUGAGCCUGGCACCACAAUGGCCAGGAGGAAAGGAACAAGCUAAGUGGAUCCUAGAGCAAAUAAAGCCUAAACCCUCCCUAAAAGCCAAGUCGACUAAACUGAAACAGCCAUGAGAUCAAAGUCAGCAUGAACCCUGCAAGUGGUUUAUCAGAUCUGGAAUGGUAGUAGUCAGGGCCAUAGCCAGAAAAAAAAAAAUCUGAGUCCCUUCGGGUGAGAAGGGUGGGAUAGAAAUGAGGGAAAUAAAUAAAUAAAACACAUACAAAAUUGCAGGGGGGGGGUGAAACUUUUUUUUAGUGAAUCAUGAAGAAUAGUUCCAUAACGCAAAAUAAUUUAGAAAUCAGGCUCCAUCGAUAAACUUCAGUGGACGCUCAAGACAAAUAAACUUCAAUGGACACUGAUGGAGAUUUGGUUAACCAGUUAAACUUCAUGAGUAAACCAGGUAUUUUUUGAAACCUGAAAAAAAAAAUUGAGGGGGGGAUUUGAACCCCUAACAUCUCCCCCCACCACCACCACCUUGGCUACAGCCCUGGUAGUAGUUGCUUCUGUGCUGUCAGAAAUGGGGAAAAGCUUGAACAGAGAGCUUUGCAUAAAACUGGCUGAAGCUCUGUACAUACAGUACAACCUCCAUAUCUGGAGAACCGGGACCAGAGGUUUUAUCUCCCCACAUCUGCCUUCUCUAGGAAGUUUCUAAGUACACCAGAUGAUUGACAUGCUUCUGCUGGAAAGUUCAAAAGAUCUAGUAAAUUUCUAGAGAUUACACCUCUUUAUGAGUGGCACUGCCCACAUUUACAGAACCAACUAUCUAUUCAUCACUCUGAACUUUUUCUUCAACUAUCAAAGCAAACUUUUAAGCCAAGCAAUUUGGAUAUGGAGAUCCAGCAAAAGAUGUUCCUGGGCCUAAAGUUGUCUACCACCACCCUCCAUAGCAAAAUUACUCCCAUGCUCCCAAAAGGCAUUGUGAGGCAAUUCUAAAAUAUUUUAUGGAUGUGAGAGAGGGAUGCAAGGUCUGGUGAGGAUCCCUUAUCCUUGCACAGUUGAUCACCUCUGUCCUAGAUGGACCUAGCAUAGGAUCUAACACAAAUGAAAUCUUCCAUUGGAUGGGAGUUACAACCCAUCUGCACUAGCCAUAAUAACUGAGGCAUUUGCAUGGACAUGGUGGAUUCCAAUGCUUUGUUCUUCAGGUGCAAAUAUGCAAAACCAAGAGACGGUAGAAACAGAGACAGGCAAACUCCAGUCCUCUACAUUUGUAGAUUUGACUUUUGUGGAUUCAAUUAUUCAAGAAUUUAACUGAAAUGCUCUCUGUAGUCACCUCUAGAUCCUCCCGUGUGAUUCCAUACUUAGUUCCAGUAGAAGCUGACUAUAGAGUUGGGCUGGAGGGCCUAGGGAUUCCUAAAAAGGUGUCAUUUAAAAAUAAAAAUAGCAUUUUAAUAUAGGUAAAGUGUAAAGGUUUUCCCCUGACCUUAAGUCCAGUCAUGUCUGACUCUGGGGGUUGGUGCUCAUCUCCAUUUCUAAGCCAAAGAGCUGGCGUUGUCCGUAGACACCUCCAAGGUCAUGUGGCUUGCAUGACUGCAUGGAGCGCCGUUACCUUCCCACCGGAGUGGUAGCUAUUGAUCUACUCACAUGGGCAUGUUUUCGAACUGCUAGGUUGGCAGAAGCUGGAGCUAAGAGCGGGCGUUCACUCCGCUCUUGGGAUUUGAACCUGUGACCUUUUGGUCUGCAAGUUCAGCAGCUCAGUGCUUUAACACACUUCGCCACCGGGGCUCCUUUUGAUAUAGGUAGAUUUACACAAUACUAAUAGACAAAGAACACAAUAAAAUAGCAAUUUUCUUAUUCAUGUUUUUUCACUUUCAUGGCAAUCUUGUGCUCCUAAUGCCAGUGCAUGUGGAAGACUGACGAAUUCACCUCCCACUUUUUUUUGCUGUGACAAACAAACAACCAAGAGGUGUGAGAAACAGAAUCCGCAGGUGCUGUGUUAAUCCAUACAGUUCAUUUUGACUUAAGGCCUGGCCACUUAAAUAAUCUAUGCAAAGAUAUGGCUUGGCAGACAUAUCAUUUGUUAAACUGAGAGAAAAUGCUUGACCUUGUUUCUGGAAGGAGAGAUAAUGGAUUAAGACACGUGGAAAUCUGCCAGGCAUUGAGAAAAGGGAUAGCUUUUCGAGACAAAAUACCAUAAAAUCAGUCAAAGCUAUGGGACAAUCUGGCCAUUAACAGGGAAGAGAAAAUAUCAGGGGAAAUUAUUUAGGUUGAUUAAUGCUUCUGCAUACUCCUUGUGGUAGUAAACAUGAAGCAGUGCAUUGCCACAGCUGUUAUUCAAGUCCCUGGCAUUAGGAUAAAAAGGAGACUAUCUCAUAUCAUGCACACACAGCACUGCCCAUGCUUUCCAAGAGUUAAGACCGGGGCAAACACCUGCUAAUUAAGCAGUUGGCAAAGUCCAGAUCUGUCUCAUGGUGGUACUGGGAUACGAAAUGCUCAAGCCAGAAAUGAACACAUUCCUGAGUAUCUUGACCUCUUGGCAUUUGGGCAUCAUUGAUAUCAUUACAAAUGUUGCUGUUCUAUGGGUGGCAUACACAAAAGAAGAUAAGGCCAUCUGAAGCUGAAUUGCUCUGAAGAGAUAGGUUGGGGAAAUUGUAUGUUUCUAUUAAACUUUUUUUAGCAA